rnacentral:rRNA from 1 species
GACCUCGGAUUAGGUAGGGAUACCCGCUGAACUUAAGCAUAUCAAUAAGCGGAGGAAAAGAAACCAACAGGGAUUGCCUCAGUAACGGCGAGUGAAGCGGCAAAAGCUCAAAUUUGAAAUCUGGCUCUUUUAGGGUCCGAGUUGUAAUUUGUAGAAGAUGUUUCGGGUGUGGCUCCGGUUUAAGUUCUUUGGAAUAUUACAUCAUAGAGGGUGAGAAUCCCGUAUGUGACCGGCAGCCUCCGCUAUGUGAAACUCUUUCGACGAGUCGAGUUGUUUGGGAAUGCAGCUCAAAAUGGGAGGUAUAUUUCUUCUAAAGCUAAAUAUUGGCCAGAGACCGAUAGCGCACAAGUAGAGUGAUCGAAAGAUGAAAAGCACUUUGGAAAGAGAGUUAAACAGUACGUGAAAUUGUUGAAAGGGAAGCGC